GUGCAGCAGCCGCGGUAAUACGGAGGAUGCAAGCGUUAUCCGGAUUCAUUGGGUUUAAAGGGUGCGCAGGCGGAGUGAUAAGUCAGUGGUGAAAGCCUACAGCUUAACUGUAGAACUGCCAUUGAUACUGUCAUUCUUGAGUAUUGUUGAGGUAGGCGGAAUGUGUCAUGUAGCGGUGAAAUGCUUAGAUAUGACACAGAACACCGAUCGCGAAGGCAGCUUACCAAGCAAUAACUGACGCUCAUGCACGAAAGCGUGGGGAUCAAACAGGAUUAGAUACCCUGGUAGUCCACGCCGUAAACGAUGAUCACUCGAUGUUGGCGAUACACAGUCAGCGUCUUAGGGAAACUAUUAAGUGAUCCACCUGGGGAGUACGGUCGCAAGAUUGAAACUCAAAGGAAUUGACGGGGGCCCGCACAAGCGGAGGAGCAUGUGGUUUAAUUCGAUGAUACGCGAGGAACCUUACCUGGGCUCGAACGUGGAAUGACAGUCGCGGAAACGUGAUCUUCUUCGGACAUUCUACGAGGUGCUGCAUGGUUGUCGUCAGCUCGUGCCGUGAGGUGUCGGGUUAAGUCCCAUAACGAGCGCAACCCCUAUCUUUAGUUGCCAUCAGGUCAUGCUGGGGACUCUAAAGAAACUGCCUACGCAAGUAGUGAGGAAGGCGGGGAUGACGUCAAAUCAGCACGGCCCUUACGUCCAGGGCUACACACGUGCUACAAUGGCCGGUACAGAGGGCAGCUACCUGGUGACAGGAUGCAAAUCUCCAAAGCCGGUCUCAGUUCGGAUCGAAGUCUGAAACUCGACUUCGUGAAGUUGGAUUCGCUAGUAAUCGCGCAUCAGCCAUGGCGCGGUGAAUACGUUCCCGGGCCUUGUACACACCGCCCGUCAAGCCAUGGAAGCUUGGGGUACCUGAAGUUCGUGACCGAAAGGAGCGACCUAGGGUAAAACUAGUGACUGGGGCUAAGUCGUAACAAGGUAACC
rnacentral:rRNA from 1 species